UGAACGCUGGCGGCAUGCUUUACACAUGCAAGUCGGACGGCAGCACAGAGAAGCUUGCUUCUUGGGUGGCGAGUGGCGAACGGGUGAGUAACAUAUCGGAACGUACCGAGUAGUGGGGGAUAACUGAUCGAAAGAUCAGCUAAUACCGCAUACGUCUUGAGAGGGAAAGCAGGGGACCUUCGGACCUUGCGCUAUUCGAGCGGCCGAUAUCUGAUUAGCUAGUUGGUGGGGUAAAGGCCUACCAAGGCGACGAUCAGUAGCGGGUCUGAGAGGAUGAUCCGCCACACUGGGACUGAGACACGGCCCAGACUCCUACGGGAGGCAGCAGUGGGGAAUUUUGGACAAUGGGCGCAAGCCUGAUCCAGCCAUGCCGCGUGUCUGAAGAAGGCCUUCGGGUUGUAAAGGACUUUUGUCAGGGAAGAAAAGGCUGUUGCUAAUAUCAGCGGCUGAUGACGGUACCUGAAGAAUAAGCACCGGCUAACUACGUGCCAGCAGCCGCGGUAAUACGUAGGGUGCGAGCGUUAAUCGGAAUUACUGGGCGUAAAGCGGGCGCAGACGGUUACUUAAGCAGGAUGUGAAAUCCCCGGGCUCAACCCGGGAACUGCGUUCUGAACUGGGUGACUCGAGUGUGUCAGAGGGAGGUAGAAUUCCACGUGUAGCAGUGAAAUGCGUAGAGAUGUGGAGGAAUACCGAUGGCGAAGGCAGCCUCCUGGGAUAACACUGACGUUCAUGCCCGAAAGCGUGGGUAGCAAACAGGAUUAGAUACCCUGGUAGUCCACGCCCUAAACGAUGUCAAUUAGCUGUUGGGCAACUUGAUUGCUUGGUAGCGUAGCUAACGCGUGAAAUUGACCGCCUGGGGAGUACGGUCGCAAGAUUAAAACUCAAAGGAAUUGACGGGGACCCGCACAAGCGGUGGAUGAUGUGGAUUAAUUCGAUGCAACGCGAAGAACCUUACCUGGUCUUGACAUGUACGGAAUCCUCCAGAGACGGAGGAGUGCCUUCGGGAGCCGUAACACAGGUGCUGCAUGGCUGUCGUCAGCUCGUGUCGUGAGAUGUUGGGUUAAGUCCCGCAACGAGCGCAACCCUUGUCAUUAGUUGCCAUCAUUCGGUUGGGCACUCUAAUGAGACUGCCGGUGACAAGCCGGAGGAAGGUGGGGAUGACGUCAAGUCCUCAUGGCCCUUAUGACCAGGGCUUCACACGUCAUACAAUGGUCGGUACAGAGGGUAGCCAAGCCGCGAGGUGGAGCCAAUCUCACAAAACCGAUCGUAGUCCGGAUUGCACUCUGCAACUCGAGUGCAUGAAGUCGGAAUCGCUAGUAAUCGCAGGUCAGCAUACUGCGGUGAAUACGUUCCCGGGUCUUGUACACACCGCCCGUCACACCAUGGGAGUGGGGGAUACCAGAAGUGGGUAGGAUAACCGCAAGGGGUCCGCUUACCACGGUAUGCUUCAUGACUGGGGUGAAGUCGUAA
rnacentral:rRNA from 1 species